GGCGCCGGCGGUGCUUCCGGCCAUGCUGCGCCGGGCGCGAUUGCAUCAUGGCGGGACGGAGAUAAGAAGCCCAGCUUAAGUCUCAGACUGCUGUAGUACAAUCUCCAAACUUUUGACACCUUUGCUAGUGAAUGUUAUCCUCUAGAAAAAAUGGUUCAACAAGUUCCAGAAAACAUAAAUUUUCCAAAUGAGGAAGAGAAGAUAUUGACGCUCUGGAAAAAUCUUAAUUGUUUCAAGGAAUGCCUGAAGCAAUCAAAGAACAGACCUAGGUUUAACUUCUACGAUGGCCCCCCGUUUGCCACAGGGCUCCCCCACUAUGGCCACAUUCUUGCAGGGACCAUCAAAGACAUCGUGACCAGAUUUGCUCAUCAGAGUGGUUUUCAUGUUGACAGAAGGUUUGGCUGGGAUUGCCAUGGCUUGCCUGUGGAAUAUGAGAUUGACAAGACUUUAGGCAUUAAAGGGCCAGAGGAUGUGGCAAAGAUGGGGAUUGAAGCUUACAACAAAGAGUGCAGAGGGAUUGUGAUGAGAUAUGCCAAGGAGUGGGAGUCUUUUCAUUGGAGAGUGCAGGGCAGCAGCUUGUAAUUUUGGAAGAACAGAAAUUCUCACAGAAAUACCCACAAGAGGUGUGGGUAAACCCUCAGUCUUCCCAGAGAAUAUUGGUGUCAGCUUUUCAUCCCAGGAGUACAGGGAGAGUGUUCCUGUCUGCAAGUUUGAAGAAUGGCUCUUCUACUUCAUCACACUCCUCUACAUGUUUCUAGUCUUGCUGUAUUUCUUUUCAUGGAAAUAGGAGUUUCUUACUUGAGUAUCACUUGCCUCUUGCCCUUGGGACCAUUUUGAAGUUACGGCCAGUGUCUGAAGAAACCAGAGGUGCCUUGGGUAGAGAAACUGUGGCCUAAACCUCAGUGAGUGGCUGGAUGAAAAGCAGACAGUUUUUUUUUUUCAAAUUGCACUCUGAAAUGUUGUAUUUCAAACCCAUCAUUGAUAAUUCU